GGCCAGGUAGCUCAGAUGGUAGAGCAGCGGACUGAAAAUCCGCGUGUCGGCGGUUCGAUUCCGCCCCUGGCCA
rnacentral:tRNA from 2 species